GUUGUGUAUCUCUCUUCCGCCCUCUAUAAAUAUCACAUGGUACUUGGGAAGUUCGUCAAGGAAGAACAAGAGAUGCCAGUCUCAUUGUAUAUAAUACUACUAGUUGUAGAGAGUGAGUGACAACUAGUAGCUAGCAGUUGUUUAAUAUAGUAUGAUAAACAGGCUGCAAAUCAUACAGGCAUAUUAUGAAUGCCAAUAUGCUGCCUUUAUCUGCAUUUGCACCUGCAUCUUAUUGCUUUUGUUUCGUUUUUUACUCCACAAACAAAAUCAAGUUCUGUCGAUACAGUAUGUGGGGCAAUUAGAUAUAGAGUGUUAGAUAUGGAAACUAACAAGCUUAGUUGAGGUGCAGGUGCUAGUGCAGGUGAAUGCCAUUUUGGUAAUGUUUUCACUCACAUACAUACACAGUAGUGCUGCCUCUUUUCUUUUCAUCUGUCUGUGGUUAAUUUGCAGUUUCAUGGUGGCAGAAAUGUACUGGUAAUCAUCAAGGAGAAAGGGCAAGAAAUAUUCUUGUGCUUAUUAAUUAACUAUGAGAGCAAAUUAAUGUGUCUUCAACAACGACAGGCCAUGUAUAAAAUUCUUUAUGCAGGUGUUUGGUGUUUAUAGAGAAGAUGAUGAAUUGAAGUGAUUGGGCGGCCACAAUUCGAUGGAUGUGGAAGAAUAUUUCAAGGGUUUUCCAGUAAUCUUUGAAUUAAGUACUUGGAGGACAGAUCAUCCAUGAUCAAUAUGCAAGGCGCCUGUGCUAGAUAUGUAGAUCUCUUGAUCUUCCAUUUGAAGCUAGGGUUUUCAAGAUAAAGUUGGAUUUCACAAAUCCUACGAGAACAGCAAGCAGUGAAUGAUUGGAUGAUAUAGAAUAUUUUUAUCAAGUGAUUGCAUAACUCCAAAAACUAGGGUACAAAUCUGUUUUCAUUCAUGCUGCCUCUUAGAAAAGCGACUAGAAGACUUGAUGAAAUUAAACACCUUAAAAGGAGGGAAAGGUACAAGUAUUAGUCAGCAAUGGCGAGCUUUAAUGAUUUGAAUAUCAGUUUACAAGUGAGAACAAAAAGGGAUUAGACAUAAAUGAUGACAACUCAUGGAGGCACCCUAUUGCUCUUGCUGUCCUCUUUGCAUCCGAGAAAUUUCUAAUGGCCUCUGCACUCUACCAUCUGAUCGAUAAAAAGUUAAGUGAAUAAUAUUCUCAGCUGCUUUCCUACAUUGCUCAUUCAAGCUAGUCGCCUAAGCGAAACAUUUGACUUACUGAUGUAUCAUUUCAUGUUCUUUAGUUAAUGUGGAUCGAAAGUCUUAUAACUUGAAAGCAGUAUGUGGAAGAUGCAGGUGGAGAAAAUAUUGACAACUCUAUCAAUAAGAUCACCUGCAACACCUCAAAACCUGAUGACUUGGAAGAAUUGCAUGCAAUAUUAUGUGUAAGUUCUGUUUAUGGCUAAAGAUUACAGAGUUAUUAAGCUCGACCCUAAACUGAUGAUUUAGCCUUUGUCCCAGAACAAAUUUUAAAUAAAAUUGUAUGAGAGUUUAGCUGAUGUGAGUCAUCUCGACAGAUCAACAUGUUUUGUUCAUCACUUUUGCAAGGGAUUGAAGAAUCCAAGCUUUAUGUGAUUGUUUUCUCUGAAAACUAUUCAUCGUCCAAAUGGUGCUUGGACGAGCUUGUAAAGAUCCUGGAAUGCAAGGAAAUGAAUGGACAGACGGUUAAUCUACCA